rnacentral:rRNA from 1 species
UAGGGAAUCUUCGGCAAUGGGGGCAACCCUGACCGAGCAACGCCGCGUGAGUGAAGAAGGCCUUCGGAUCGUAAAGCUCUGUUGUAAGAGAAGAACGUGUGUGAGAGUGGAAAGUUCACACAGUGACGGUAACUUACCAGAAAGGGACGGCUAACUACGUGCCAGCAGCCGCGGUAAUACGUAGGUCCCGAGCGUUGUCCGGAUUUAUUGGGCGUAAAGCGAGCGCAGGCGGUUUAAUAAGACUGAGGUUAAAGGCGGUGGCUUAACCAUUGUUCGCUUUGGAAACUGUUAAACUUGAGUGCAGAAGGGGCGCGUGGAAUUCCAUGUGUAGCGGUGAAAUGCGUAGAGAUAUGGAGGAACACCGGUGGCGAAUGCGGCUCUCUGGUCUGUACCUGACGCUGAGGCGCGAAAGCGUGGGGAGCAAACAGG